GCUGAUCGCCGCUGGGCGGGGAGCGGGUUGUGUCCCCGCUAGGCACGGUUCGAUCCCGUGGGUCAGUACCA
rnacentral:tRNA from 1 species